rnacentral:rRNA from 1 species
GUAACAAGGUCUCCGUUGGUGAACCAGCGGAGGGAUCAUUACCGAGUUUUCAACUCCCAAACCCUUUUGUGAACAUACCUAUCGUUGCUUCGGCGGACUCGCCCCAGCGUCCGGCCGGCCCCGCGCCGGCCGCGGCCUGGAUCCAGGCGGCCGCCGGAGACCCCCAAACUCUGUAUUCUCAGUAUCUUCUGAAUCCGCCGCAAGGCAAAACAAAUGAAUCAAAACUUUCAACAACGGAUCUCUUGGUUCUGGCAUCGAUGAAGAACGCAGCGAAAUGCGAUAAGUAAUGUGAAUUGCAGAAUUCAGUGAAUCAUCGAAUCUUUGAACGCACAUUGCGCCCGCCAGCAUUCUGGCGGGCAUGCCUGUUCGAGCGUCAUUUCAACCCUCGACUUCCCUUUGGGGAAAUCGGCGUUGGGGACCGGCCGUAUACCGCCGGCCCCGAAAUGAAGUGGCGGCCCGUCCGCGGCGACCUCUGCGUAGUAAUCCAACUCGCACCGGAACCCCGACGUGGCCACGCCGUAAAACCCCCGACUUCUGAACGUUGACCUCGGAUCAGGUAGGAAUACCCGCUGAACUUAAGCAUAUCA